ensembl:snRNA U2 U2 spliceosomal RNA
AUCGCUUCUCUGCCUUUUGACUAAGAUCAAGUAUAGUAUCUGUUCUUAUCAGUUUAAAGUACAUAUUCUCUGAGAGCCCACCUGAGUUUGGGACAAAAGGGAACAUGGCUAAUUGGAAUCAGAAAGUCUCAAGUUCAAGUCCUCACUAUUUAUGAAGCCAGGUGGCUUGGGCAGGUUACAAAGU